UACGGAGGGUGCGAGCGUUGUCCGGAAUCACUGGGCGUAAAGGGCGCGUAGGCGGCGUCGCAAGUCAACGGUGAAAGCUCGACGCUUAACGUCGAGUCGGCCGUCGAGACUGCGAGGCUCGAGCACUGUAGAGGCUCAUGGAAUUCCGGGUGUAGCGGUGGAAUGCGUAGAGAUCCGGAAGAACACCGGUGGCGAAGGCGGUGAGCUGGGCAGUGCUGACACUGAGGCGCGACAGCGUGGG
rnacentral:rRNA from 1 species